CAGCAGUGGGGAAUAUUGCACAAUGGGGGAAACCCUGAUGCAGCCAUGCCGCGUGUGUGAAGAAGGCCUUCGGGUUGUAAAGCACUUUCAGUAGGGAGGAAGGUAGUGUAGUUAACACCUGCAUUAUUUGACGUUACCUACAGAAGAAGCACCGGCUAACUCCGUGCCAGCAGCCGCGGUAAUACGGAGGGUGCGAGCGUUAAUCGGAAUUACUGGGCGUAAAGCGCAUGCAGGCGGCCUGUUAAGUCAGAUGUGAAAGCCCGGGGCUUAACCUCGGAAUUGCAUUUGAAACUGGCAGGCUAGAGUCUUGUAGAGGGGGGUAGGAAUUUCAGGUGUAGCGGUGAAAUGCGUAGAGAUCUGAAGGAAUACCAGUGGCGAAGGCGGCCCCCUGGACAAAGACUGACGCUCAGAUGCGAAAGCGUGGGGAGCAAACAGGAUUGGAUACCCUGGUAG
rnacentral:rRNA from 1 species